CUCGGGAGCCCCCACCCAGGCGCAUGGCUCCAUGAAGCAAGAGGAGGAGGCAGAGCGCGAGAGGUCCCGUCCGCCCCAGCCGCGUCUGGGCCAGGAUAAAAGCAAAACCAUAUUCCUGCUGCUGUCAGUUAUGAUGCACUGAGAAAACUUCAGAGACCUAAACUUUUUCCAGAGAAGAGAAGCUUUACUGGUGUUCCAGCCCUAAGGCUCAUAUGACAUUAACAGACAAGACACUUUUCAGAAAGACAGGCAACGUGUUGGACCUUCCGGAGCUUCUCAGAAGACAGAGGGUUUUCUUUUGAGGCUGUUGUACAGUGGCCUGAUUAUAGCUCACUGUAGCCUCGAAAUUCUGGGCUGAAAUGAUCCUCCUGCCUCAGCCUCCAAAGUAGCUGAGACUAGAGGCUGGUCUUGAACUCUUGGGCUGAAGAGAUUCUCCCACCUCAGCCUCCCAAGGUGUUGAGAUUACAAGCAUGAGCCACCUCACCUGGCCAAGAGCUAGUUGUUAAAAGAGCCUAGCAGUACCCACCUCUUUCUUGUUUCCUCUCUCACCAUGUGAUCUCCACACACAUUGGCUUGCCUUCCCUUUCUGACAUGAGCGGAAGCAGCCUGAGGCCCUCACCAGAUGUGGAUGCCAGUGCCAUGCUUCUUGUACAAUCUGCAGAAUCAUAAGCUAAAUACACCUCUUUUCUUUAUAAAUUACCCAGCCUUGGGUAUUCCUUUAUAGCAACACAAACGGAGAAAGACAUAUGCAAUUUGCCAUUUUAAUCAUUUUUAACUGUACAAUUUGGUGGUAUUAAUUAUAUUUACAAUGUUGUGCAACCGUUACCACCAUCUAUUACCAAAGCCCUUUCAUCACCCCAAAUAGAAACUGUGCUUAUUCAGCAAAAACUCCCAUUUUCCUCUCCUUCCAGCCCCUGGUAACCUCUGGUAACCUCUAAUCUACUUCCUGUCUCUAUGAAUUUGCCUAUUGUAAAUAUUUCACAUAAUGGUAUCAUACACUAUCCUUUUGUGUCUAGCUUAUUUCACUUAGCAUAAUGUUUUCAAGGUUCAUCCAUCUUAUAGCAUGUAUCAGUAUUCCAUUCUUCUUUUCUAUGGCUGAAUAAUAAUUGUAUGUAUAUACUGCAUCUUGUUUAUCCAUUUAUCUUUUUGUUUGUUUGUUUUUUAAAGACAGGGUUUUACCAUGUUGGCCAAGCUAGUCUCGAACUCCUGAACUCAGGUGAUCCGCCCACCUUGGCCUCACAAAGUACUGGGAUUACAGGCGUGAGCCAUCGUGCCUGGCCUAUCCGUUUAUCUUUUGAUAGACAUUUUGGUUGUUUCUACCUUUUGUCUAUUGUGAAUAAUGCUGCUAUGAACAUUAGUGUACAAGUCACUGAUUAAGUUGUUGUUUUCAAUUCUUUGGGGUAUUGUAUUAGGCCAUUCUUGCAUUGAUAUAAAGAAAUACCUGAGACUGGGUAAGUGCCAAAGAAAAAAGGGUUUAGUUGGCUCACAUUUCUGCAGUCUGUACAGGAAGCAUAGCAGCAUCUGCUUCCAGGGAGGCUUCAGGAAGCUUCCAAUCAUGAUGGAAGGCAAAGUGGGUGCAGGCAUGUCACAUGGCAAAAGCCAGAGCAAGAGAGGAAGUGGGGAGGUGCUGCACACUUUUAAACAAUCAAAUCUUGUGAGAACUCACAAUCUUGAUGACAGCUAGAGAUGGUGAAGCCACUCAUGAGAAACCACUCCCAUGAUCCAAUCACCUCCCACCAGGCCCCAACUCUAACACCGGAGAUUAAUUACAUUUCAACAUGAGAUUUGCAUAGGAACAAACAGUCAAACUAUAUCCGGUAUAUACUUAAGAGUAGAAUUACUGGGUGAUAAUUCUGUUUUACGUUUUGAGGAAUUGCCAAACUAUCUUCCUCAGCAGUUAAACCAUUUACAUUCCCACCAGAGGUAUACUAGGUUUCCAAUUUCUCCACAUGUUCAACAACACUAGUUAUUUUUUCUUCUAAUUAUAGCCAUUCUAGUAGGUACAAAGUGGUAUCUCAUUGUGGUUUUAGCAUCUUUUGAGUUGCUUAUUGACCAUUUACAUGUCUUUUUUUUAGAGAAGUGUCUAAGUCUUUUGUCCAUUAAAAAUUUGAGUUAUUUAUCUUUUAUUUGUUGAGUUGUAGGAUUCUUUAUGCAUUCAAUUCUUUUGGGUAUUGUAUUAGGCCAUUCUUGCAUUGCCAUAAAGAAAUGCCUGAGUAUAUUAGUUUUUUGUCAGAUGUAUGAUUUGCAAACAUUUUCUCCAAUUUUUUGUGUUAUCUUUUCACUCUCUUUAUAGUGUCACUUGAUACACAAUUUUGAUGAAGUCCAAUUUAUCAGUUGUUUCAUCACUUGUACUUUUGAUGUUAUAUUUAAGAAACCAUUGUCAAACCCAAGGUCAUGAAGAUUUUUCAGUAUGUUUUCCUCUAAGAGUUUUAUAGCAUUUAAUAUUUAAGUGUUUUAUAGCAUUAAAUUUUGGUCUUUGAUCCAUUUUGAGUUAAUGUUUGUACAUUGUGUAAAAGUAUAGGUCCAACUUCAUUCUUUUGCUUGUGGAUAUCUAGUUUCCCCAACACCAUUUGUUGAAGAGAUUGUCCUUUUCCCCAUUGAGUGAUCCUGGAACCCUUGCUGAAAAUUAAUUACCCAUAGAUGUGAGUGUUAGUUCUGGCCUCUCGAUUCUAUUCCAUUGGUCUAUAUUGUCUAUCUCUGUGCCAAGUCCAUGCUAUUUCAAUUAUUAUAGCUAUGUAGUACAUUUUAAUAUCAGAAAAUGUGAGUCCUACAACUUUGUUCCUCUUCAGAUUAUUUUGGCUAUUUUGGGUUCCUUGAAAUUUUAUAUGAAUUUUAGAAUAGGUUUUUCCGUUUCUGCCAAAAGCGCUGUUGGGAUCUUAUUAGCGUGAUUACAUUGACUCUACAUAUCAUUUUGAGUAGCGUUGUCGUUUUAACAAUAUUAAGUCUUCCAACUUAUGAACACAGGAUCUCUUUCCAUUUAUUUAAGUCUGCUUUAAUUUCUUUCCAGAAUGCUUUGUAGUUUUCAGUGUACAAGUCUUCUGCCUUCCUGGUUAAAUUGAUUUCUAAAUAUUUUAUUCUUUUGGGUACUACUGUAAAUAAAAAAUUCUUAAUUUCCUUUUCAGAUUUUUUACUGCUAGUGUGUAGAAACACGACUGAUUUUUGUGUGUUGAUUUUGUAUUCUGAAGCCUUGCUAAAUUUGUUUAUUAGCUUUAAGAGGCUAUUUUUGGUAUUCUUUAGGGCUUUCUACACUUAUAUCACUUGCAAAUAGAGAUAGUUUUACUUCUUCCUUUCUAAUUUGGAUUUAUUUUAUUUCUUUUUCUUGCCUGAUGGGUCUGGCUAGAACUGCCAAUACUGUGUUGAAUAGAAGUGGCAAACACAGGCAUCCAUGGCUUCUGAUUUUAGUGGAAAAGCUUGAAAUUUUUCCCCAUUGAGAAUGAUGUUAGUCGUGAGUUCUUAAUACAUGGUCUUUAUCAUGUUGAGACAGUUCCUUUCUAUUCCUGGUUUGUUGGACAGUUCUAUCAUAAAGGAGGAAUGGAUUUUCUCAAAUGUUCUUCUAUAUCAAUUGAGAUGAUCAUGAGUUUUUCACUCCUUCCUUCUAUUACUUGGUGUAUUACAUCGACUGAUUUUCAUACGUUAAACCACUCUUAAAUUUCUGGGAUAAAUCUCAGUUGGUCAUAGUGUAAAAUUCUUUUAAGGGCUGCUGAAUUUAAUUUCCUAGUAUUUUGUUGGGGAUUUUUGUAUCUAUAAUGCAUUCAUAGGGGACAUUUGGCUAUAGUUUUCUUGUAUUGUCUGUCUAGCUUUGGUAUCAGGGUAAUGUUGGCUUCAUAGAAUGACUCAGAAAGGGUUCUGUUUCUCAACUUUUUGGAGGAGUUCGAGAAGGAUUAGUGUUAAUUCGUUUCUAAACGUUUGGUAGAAUUCACCAGCGAAGUCAUCAGUUCCUGGGCUUUUCUUUGUUAGGAGAGUUUUGGUUGCUGAUUCAAUCAAAAUUGAAUAUCAUUACUUUUUAUAGAUCUAUUCAGAUUUAUUCUUUGUUCUUGAGUCAACUUUGUUGGUUUGUAUGUUUCUAGGAAUUUGUCUGUUUCAUCUAGGUUAUCCAAUUUUUUGACAUAUAGCUCUUAUACUAAUUCUCUUACAAUCCUUUUUAUUCCUAUAAAUCAGUAGUAGUGUCUUUCAUUUCUGAUUUUAGUAGUUGAGUAUUCUUUUUCCUUAAUCUAGUUAAAGCUUUGUCAACUUUGUUGAUCUCUUCAAAGAACUAAUUUUUUGUUUCAUUGAUUCUAUUGUUUUUCUAUUCUCUAUUUCAUUUAUUUUUGCUCUAAUCCUUAUUAUUUCCUUCCUCUUUAUGGCUUCAAACUCAAUUGAACAUAAAGUAUUAAGAAAUUUGACUUUUUUCUCAAAUGUCUAAAAUGUAACAAGAAAUAUGUCUAGAGUCAUCAAAAAGCAGCCUGUUUGUCAGAUUUACUGUUUAAUCCAUGUAAACAGCUUUCAUAUAAUUCAUGAUAGAAUAUUACUAUGUGCUUUGGAAGACACUGAAGGAAAGACAAAAGGUCAUUGGGCAGAACCACCCUAGAUUGACUGUUAAGGCCAUCUUCUAGUUUGCAGGACUUGUGGUAGACAGACAGAAUAAUAUCCUGGACCUCUUGGGUGUAUACAGGACAAACUGAAAUAAACUCUCAUUUUUAGAUCAUAAUGUCAUCAUGAAACAUAUCAAUUCGGUCUAUUUCUGAAGAAAACAAGCACAAUGAUAAAGUUUGAAUGUUUGUCUCCUCCAAAUCUCAUGCUGACAUUUGAUCCCCAAUGUUGGAGGUGGGGCGCACUGGGAGGUGUUUUCGUUACGGGGGCAGAUCCCUCAUGAAUGGCUUGGUGCUGUCUUCAUGGGAUUAAGUUCUCACUCCUACUUCCUGUGAGAUCUUAUUGUUAAAAAGAAUCUGAUACCUUCCUCCCCUCUCUUGCUCUCUUCCUCCCUGAUCAUGUGACACACGGGUUCCCCUUUGCCUUCCACCACGAUGGAGGCUUCCUGAGGCCCUCAACAGAAGCAGAUGCUGGCGCCAUGCUUCUCGUACAGCCUGCAGAAUUGUGUGAGCCAAAUAAACCUCUUUUCCUUAUAUAUUACCCAGCCUCAGGUAUUUGUUUAUAGCAAUAAAAACAGACUGAGACACAUGAUGAAGACCCUUUGAUAUCCUAUAAAUAUUGAUUUCUCUCCCUGAGAGAAGAGCAUGAAUCUAAGUGAUGCCAUUACUCUAAUGUGAAUUCCACAACUCUUCUCAAAGAUGUGGCCCAUAUGUUCCUAAUAAUGGCUUUCUAAGAAUCUGUUCUGAAGGGGUACCUUCUCUCUGAUUUUCAUUUGCAUUUCCUGCUUAGCUUACACACUUCACCUUGCCUAUCCACCUGUCCUGACCCCAAUAACCUCCAUCAUCAGACAUCUCAUCUUACCUACCUACUUUCUACUUUUCCCAGUCCUUCCCGUGCUUCAUAAACCAUGAUCAUGAGCUAGAGACACAAGGUCAUAGCUAAGGAGUUGGGAUCAGAAAAUCACCUUCUGUGAUUUUCCAUUAUUGUCAAUACAUAACUUCAACAAAAUCAAGAAAAUCAUGAAAGGACAUCCUAAGGGGUCAGGUGAGGUUGCAGUGGGGUUAGUCGGUCAAUAGUUUCUUUAUGCCAAUUAGGAUUUCUGCAGAAAACAAUGAAAUACUGGUUUAAACAGUAAAAAUAUUUUAAUUCCUUACAGAAGCCCAUGGAACAUACACUCCAGGUUUAAUUCAUCAGCUCAAUAGCAUCAUCAAUGACUUAGGUUCUUUCCACUUUCUGCUUGUCAUCUGUGUUGGCUUUAUUUUCAAGCUAGCUCCUCCCUGGUUGCAAGAUAAUUGCAGCAGGUUUAGUUAUCAUAUUCGGACAUGCUAACGCCCAGGGUAGUGAUCCCUUCCUUGCAUUUCUUUCUCAUUUUAAGAACAAAGUGUUUAAAAAAUUAUACUUAAAAUUAUUGGCAUCUCUGUCAAUUGAAAGAUGUCAAUCUCUUUCAUUUUUCCUAAUCACUAAUAACAUCUACUAAAAACAAAAUGUCUGUGUAAAUAAUUUAUUUGAAUAAAAUUAAAGUUGUUGAGUGAGCUCGGCUUUUGAGGAGUGGGAAAGGAGGGGUGCAUAGAUUAGUGGAAGAUGAGAAGCUAGUGGGGCUCAAGUCCAGCAGGAGCAGGAGUUUGGAGCCAGGACUUCCUAGCCUCUCAGGGUUUUUUUUUAACUUCCUUACCUGAAAUGAUUUGUGCUAUAUAACUUGUCCUGGCUAAACUUUCUUAAUCUCAACUGUUUCAUUUAAUCAAUAACAACUACUGCGCCACCUUCAUAAUAUCAAUUUUCAGCAUUUCAUUUACUGAAUAUCAUUUCCUUUCCUUCCAGACUAUUCUACUGUGUCAAAUUCAAUAUUCCUUUGACUCAAUAGGAUCUCCAAUCCAGUGACCCCAUUAUUUGUUUGUUUAUUAGAACAAGAAAAACAAACUUUCCCAGAAACUCCCCAGUAGACUGCUCCUCAUGUCUCAUUGGCUAGAACUGAGUUGCGUGCCCAUUCCUAAAACAAAACUGGCAAGAAAGAUAGUUACCAAGAUUGGUUCAGACCAAAUCAGGAUUUUUUCCUGAGGAGAGGAUAAAGUGAGCUUCCUGGGAGGCAAAUAUUUACACAUUCCAAAGAUUCCAAAGAAAAAAAGAGAAUAAAUACUGGGUCGUUAACUAAUAGUAAGUGCUACGGUAUUACAGGUAAAAUUUAUCCUUUUAGCCCUAGCAACAAGUGACACCUUCUGAAGCCAUUAUUCAUUUGUCAGGAAUAGGGCAAGUAUCAGGAAAAGAAACACCGAAAUAAACUCUGUUUCCAUUUAUUGCAUUCUAGCACUGGUUCUACCAAAUAUUUGUUGGAUGACUUUAGGUAAAGCAUCUAGCCUCUCUGUCUUGAUUGCCACACCCACAAUAUGAGAUAAAUAUUAUUCUGCAUACUUCCUGGGAGAGCUGGGAAGAUAAAAUCAGAUCAUUAUACCACAUAAAGCAAAGCAAUAACACUUCCAUAUUUUAGCUUCCCACACUGCCUAUCUGUCCUAUUUUCAUUUAUUCAUUUAUACUUUUUAACAAACAGUUGCUAGUAGUUUGCUUAAUGUAAGAUAUGGGAUGAAUAUUUUCAUGAUGGCCCCUGCAUCUAAGUUAUCAUUUAGCAGUACCUGCCUUAUCUCUUGUACAGAAUCAGAUUAGACAGCAUAGGAAGAAUGAAAAGGUGAGGUGGGAUAAUAAGGAAUGUUGUUUGUGGAAACAUAAUGGUUGCUUCAAUUUGAGUGUAAACUGUCCUUUUUACUGAAGCAAUUGCAACCAAGUGUGUUAGUUUACAGGUGCCUACAUUGCUUUUUUGGCUUAGGUAUUGUUUGGGUUUUAAUACUGACUGGUAUAUAAUACAGACAAAUCAACUCAAUCAAAGAAACCAACUCAAUCAAAGAAAGAUGGGUCUACAUACAACAAAACUGAACAAAAUCUGCAAGAAGAGUGAUUCAUACAUGGGCUAUUGAGGCAACAUGAAAUGGACAUUAAUCGACUAAGUAAAAAACAGAUUUCUUGAAGAAUUAAUAAAGAACUUUUGUUUUGGAA
rnacentral:lncRNA from 10 species